rnacentral:rRNA from 1 species
ACUCUCAGCAACGGAUAUCUUGGCUCUUGCAACGAUGAAGAACGCAACGAAAUGCGAUACGUAGUGUGAAUUGCAGAAUUCCGCGAAUCAUCGAGUCUUUGAACGCAAGUUGCGCCCGAGGCUUGUCCAAGGGCAUUUCCGCUAGAGCGUCACCGCGCCCC